rnacentral:rRNA from 1 species
AUUGAACGCUGGCGGCAUGCCUUACACAUGCAAGUCGAACGGCAGCACGGGAGCAAUCCUGGUGGCGAGUGGCGAACGGGUGAGUAAUGUAUCGGAACGUGCCCAUUCGUGGGGGAUAACGUAGCGAAAGCUACGCUAAUACCGCAUACGAUCUAUGGAUGAAAGCGGGGGAUCGCAAGACCUCGCGCGAUUGGAGCGGCCGAUAUCAGAUUAGGUAGUUGGUGGGGUAAAGGCUCACCAAGCCGACGAUCUGUAGCUGGUCUGAGAGGACGACCAGCCACACUGGGACGGAGACACGGCCCAGACUCCUACGGGAGGCAGCAGUGGGGAAUUUUGGACAAUGGGCGCAAGCCUGAUCCAGCAAUGCCGCGUGCAGGAUGAAGGCCUUCGGGUUGUAAACUGCUUUUGUACGGAACGAAACGGCGAGCUCUAAUACAGUUUGCUAAUGACGGUACCGUAAGAAUAAGCACCGGCUAACUACGUGCCAGCAGCCGCGGUAA